GGUUCUGUUUUAUUGGUUCGGAGCUAAUAUAAUGAUUGAAGGGGACAGACGGGGGCAUUCGUAUUGCGACGUUAGAGGUGAAAUUCUUGGAUCGUCGCAAGACGGACUACUGCGAAAGCAUUUGCCAAGAAUGUUUUCAUCAAUCAAGAACGAAAGUCUGAGGUUCGAAGGCGAUCAGAUACCGCCCUAGUUCAGACCGUAAACGAUGCCAACUAGCGAUCCGAGGGCGUUAAUUUAUGACUCCUCGGGAAGCUUCCGGGAAACCAAAGUUUUUGGGUUCCGGGGGAAGUAUGGUUGCAAAGCUGAAACUUAAAGGAAUUGACGGAAGGGCACCACCAGGAGUGGAGCCUGCGGCUUAAUUUGACUCAACACGGGGAAACUCACCAGGUCCAGACACAAUAAGGAUUGACAGAUUGAGAGCUCUUUCUUGAUUUUGUGGGUGGUGGUGCAUGGCCGUUCUUAGUUGGUGGAUUGAUUUGUCUGCUUAAUUGCGAUNACGAACGAGACCAACGUCUUUAAAUAGCCAGGCUAGCUUUGGCUGGUCGCCGGCUUCUUAAAGAGACUUUCUGCUUAAGCAGAAGGAAGUUGUUGGCCAUAACAGGUCUGUGAUGCCCUUAGAUGUUCUGGGCCGCACGCGCGCUACACUGACAGAGCCAACGAGUUUCUUCCUUGUCCGAAAGGGCUGGGUAAUCUUGUUNAACUCUGUCGUGCUGGGGAUAGAGCANUGCAAU
rnacentral:rRNA from 1 species